rnacentral:SRP_RNA from 2 species
ACGCGAGGCCGGAUCGCCGAGCAGUGAGAACCUCCUGCUGCAGA